GGAGCCUGUUAAGCCACACCUGGACUCCUGAUCUACAGAAGCUGUGAGCAUUUCCGUUCCUUCCUGGAUGUAAGGAUCAUGGAGCUCUCUGAACAUCUGCCCAAAGUGGAGAAGGAUCAUGAGCUCCCAACGUAAUAAUGAUCUUGGAAUUGGUGAAUAUAUUGACUGAUUUCCUCUGGUGGGAAGCAGUAACCAAGUAGAAACUCC